rnacentral:rRNA from 1 species
UACGAAGGGGGCUAGCGUUGCUCGGAAUCACUGGGCGUAAAGCGCACGUAGGCGGGUCGUUAAGUCAGGGGGUGAAAUCCUGGAGCUCAACUCCAGAACUGCCCUUGAUACUGGCGAUCUCGAGUUCGGGAGAGGUGAGUGGAACUGCGAGUGUAGAGGUGAAAUUCGUAGAUAUUCGCAAGAACACCAGUGGCGAAGGCGGCUCACUGGCCCGAUACUGACGCUGAGGUGCGAAAGCGUGGGGAGCAACAGG